rnacentral:rRNA from 1 species
GACGAACGCUGGCGGCAUGCUUAACACAUGCAAGUCGAACGAGAAUCUGUGGAUCAAGGAUUCGUCCAAGUGAAGCGGAGGACAGUGGCGGACGGGUGAGUAACGCGUGAGAACCUGCCUUUCAGAGGGGGACAAACAGUUGGAAACGACUGCUAAUACCGCAUAACGCGUAGAGGUCGCAUGGCCUUUACGCCAAAGAUUAUCGCUGAAAGAUGGCCUCGCGUCUGAUUAGCUAGUUGGUGAGGUAACGGCCCACCAAGGCGACGAUCAGUAGCCGGACUGAGAGGUUGAACGGCCACAUGGGACUGAGAUACGGCCCAGACUCCUACGGGGGGCAGCAGUGGGGAAUAUUGGGCAAUGGGCGCAAGCCUGACCCAGCAAUGCCGCGUGAAGGAGAAGGCUUCGGUUGGUAAACGUUACUUUUGUUCAGGGACGAAGUAGGAAGAACGGUACCU